rnacentral:rRNA from 1 species
GGGGCCCGGCAGAAAGUUUGUUAGUGGGUUAGGAAGCACAGAAAAGCUUGCUCUUUGGGUGGCGAGUGGCGGACGGGUGAGUAAUGUCUGGGAAACUGCCCGAUGGAGGGGGAUAACUACUGGAAACGGUAGCUAAUACCGCAUAACGUCGCAAGACCAAAGUGGGGGACCUUCGGGCCUCACACCAUCGGAUGUGCCCAGAUGGGAUUAGCUAGUAGGUGGGGUAAUGGCUCACCUAGGCGACGAUCCCUAGCUGGUCUGAGAGGAUGACCAGCCACACUGGAACUGAGACACGGUCCAGACUCCUACGGGAGGCAGCAGUGGGGAAUAUUGCACAAUGGGCGCAAGCCUGAUGCAGCCAUGCCGCGUGUAUGAAGAAGGCCUUCGGGUUGUAAAGUACUUUCAGCGGGGAGGAAGGCGGUGAGGUUAAUAACCUUGCCGAUUGACGUUACCCGCAGAAGAAGCACCGGCUAACUCCGUGCCAGCAGCCGCGGUAAUACGGAGGGUGCAAGCGUUAAUCGGAAUUACUGGGCGUAAAGCGCACGCAGGCGGUCUGUUAAGUCAGAUGUGAAAUCCCCGGGCUUAACCUGGGAACUGCAUUUGAAACUGGCAGGCUUGAGUCUCGUAGAGGGGGGUAGAAUUCCAGGUGUAGCGGUGAAAUGCGUAGAGAUCUGGAGGAAUACCGGUGGCGAAAGGCGGCCCCCUGGACGAAGACUGACGCUCAGGUGCGAAAGC